ACGAUGGCUACUGGGGAGCUCGGGGACUUGGGCGGCUACUACUUCAGGUUCUUGCCUCAGAAAACCUUCCAGUCUCUGAGCUCUAAGGAGAUCACCAGCCGACUCCGCCAGUGGUGAGGAACCGAGGCGCAGGGAGAGAAGAGGCCCUUCGUCUUCGCGGCUGUGGAGGCGCGGGCCGGGCGUCGAGGGGCCCGCGCGGGUCGGCGCCAUUCUGAGUGAACCCUGAGGCUUCCUGAGUGAACCCCGAACCACCCGGGCAGGGCGGAUGCUGUGGGUGGGAUCGGUUAUCGGUGCGCUCUGAGAGGGUGCCAGCCCCCAGAUGAUUUCUUUUUCCUCCUCUGCCCCAGGUCCAUGCUGGGCAGAAUCAAGGCGCAGGCGUUCGGCUUUGACCAGACCUUUCAGUCCUAUCGGAAGGAUGAUUUCGUUAUGGCUUUUUUCAAAGACCCAAAUGUUAUUCCCAAUUUGAAGUUACUUUCAGAUUCUUCUGGACAAUGGAUCACAUUAGGAACCGAAGUGAAAAAAAUUGAAGCUAUAAAUGUUCCUUGCACACAGCUUUCAAUGUCAUUUUUUCAUCGGUUAUAUGAUGAAGAUAUUGUACGAGACAGUGGACAUAUUGUUAAAUGUUUAGAUUCUUUUUGUGAUCCAUUUCUCAUUUCUGAUGAGUUACGAAGAGUUUUGCUAGUGGAAGACUCAGAAAAAUAUGAAAUAUUCAGCCAACCAGAUAGAGAAGAGUUCCUGUUUUGUCUUUUCAAACAUCUUUGCCUUGGUGGAGCCCUUUGUCAAUAUGAAGAUGUGAUUAGCCCAUAUCUGGAAACAACAAAGCUUAUCUAUAAGGAUCUGGUGAGUGUUCGAAAGAAUCCUCAAACCAAGAAAAUACAGAUUACCUCUUCUGUCUUUAAAGUUUCAGCUUAUGAUUCUGCUGGUAUGUGCUAUCCUUCAGCAAAGAAUCAUGAACAGACAUUUUCUUACUUUAUUGUGGAUCCUAUCAGGCGUCACCUUCAUGUUUUAUACCACUGUUAUGGUGUGGGAGACAUGUCUUAAUGCUCUUUCAGAUUAUGUACCUCUACUAUUUUUUAUUUAUCAUUUUUCUAUCUUAAUACUAACAUAGAUAAACAUAUACUUUGCAAAUUAAUUCAAGAAAAAUGUAAGGAGACUACUUAGAGCAGAAGAAAGCAAACACCAAGAUGCCUUUUAAAAAAUUUGUGUGGAAUACUAACCGGGGAUCAAAUUUCAUCCAUAAUAAAAUCUAUACCAAAAAA
rnacentral:sRNA from 1 species